rnacentral:rRNA from 1 species
UACAGAGGAGCCAAGCGUUGUCCGGAUUGACUGGGCGUAAAGCGCACGCAGGCGGACGCGCGCGUGGGGUGUGAAGUCUGGCCGCUUAACGGCCAGGCGCCAUCCCAUACGGCGCGUCUGGAGCGAUGCAGAGGUCGGUGGAAUUGCCGGUGUAGUGGUGAAAUGCGCAGAUAUCAGGAGGAACACCGGUGGCGAAGGCGGGUCUCUGGGCCGAUACUGACGCUGAGGAGCGAAAGCGUGGGGAGCGAACAGG